rnacentral:misc_RNA from 1 species
AUUAUAACCUGUAAUAACAAGAUUAUGAAUUCCCCAUUUUUUUCCCUUCCCAAUUUUAAAUAUUUUUUUAUAAGAAAAAUAUACAAUUUCAUCAACUAUAAAGGAACAAAACAUUUAUUUUAAAUAAGAAAAGAGAAUUGAUCAAGACAAACUUGACGGUCGUUAUUUCAAACACUGACGGAGCAAUCCCGGGCUAGUUGAUACUUAACGGCGUUAUUUCCAACCAUAACCCCUCCGUAACCGGGCCGAUCACCAAGUGGCACGUAAGCAGAGCACGUGACAUGCAGAUGGUAAUGGCCCGUUGUUAUGGACCCCACUUUCCAUUUUACCCGUCCAUCAAUCUUAAAAUCCAACCAAACGCCACCGUUUUGUUGAUCCUCUGACAGGCCCGGCCCGUUAUACGGAGCGAUCGGGAUGUUAUUCCCAUAAACAAACGGGGACCAUAUGUUAACAUCCUUAUGGCCUUGAUACACCUGGGGUAUUUGCGUGUAAUACGUGAUUUGUUGAUUAUGAUACGUAGCGUAUACAUGCAUGCUAUCAUAAUAAAUUCCGAUUUUGCUAUUAGGGUUUCGAGCGUAUAUUGUGGUUUGGAUAGAGGUCGAGAAGAUGUUUGGGGCGGAUACGUUGAAGGUAAAGAUAGUUGUGUCUUGGAGAAUGAAACGAGGUUUUUUGGGGUGAAGUACGGCCCAUACUAUGAGGAUAGUGAGAAGAGCUAAGAAGAGGAAGAUAAGAACUCCAGCACAAAUACGUCGAAUUAGCUUUUUCUUCUUGCUCUUGUGGUGGCUACACUUUUUAUCCGACAUGUCGGUGAUGGUGGUGGUGAUAGUUGUGAUGGUCGAGGGAGGAGAGAAAAAAAAGUUGUUUGUGUAGGAGAGAAUGCGUGGACUCAUAAGUAGUCUCAUCAGACUGUCAAAACAGAGAGUUGACAUUGAGAAGUCAAGACACAGAACAAUUGUCACCUCAGAUGUUCGUGAAGAAAUCAUGUCAAUCAAUCGAAAAGCCCGGGAAGAAUGGGAAAGGAAACAAGCUGAUGUGGAGAAACUCCAAAAGGCAAAUGAACCUGAAGGUAGUACUGGAGUUGACGGUGAUAAGGAGAAGGAUGAGGGUCGCGGGAAAUCAAUAAAGGUAAACAAGGAAGAAGAUGAUAAGAUGCGAACUACAGCUGCAA